rnacentral:rRNA from 1 species
UACCAGCACCCCGAGUGGUCGGGACGUUUAUUGGGCCUAAAGCAUCCGUAGCCGGUUCUACAAGUCUUCCGUUAAAUCCAGCUGCUUAACAGAUGGGCUGCGGAAGAUACUAUGGAGCUAGGAGGCGGGAGAGGCAAGCGGUACUCGAUGGGUAGGGGUAAAAUCCGUCGAUCCAUUGAAGACCACCAGUGGCGAAGGCGGCUUGCGAGAGCGCGCUCGACGGUGAGGGAUGAAAGCUGGGGGAGCAAACCGG